AACUUGACUCUGCCAAGGGGUUGAGAGGCCAGGGAGGCAAGGAAAAUCCUCUUAUGUGGGGAGAUGACACCCUAAGGUUUGGAGAAGGACUUACCCUCCUGUGGCCAGGCCCCCUGCAGCAAGAAGAACCCUGGAAAGAAAGAUCAUGAUGGAAGAUCCAUUUGCAGGCAAACAAGGCCUUCCUUGCUGCCCCCACUGGGCUGUGAGUCUUGAUAGCCAGCCCCUUCCUGGGCCGAAGGGAAACUCACCAUCAGAGCCUACCUGCACCCAAGAACAGUGCUCUCGGCUGUGCAGAGACCCAGCCUCCAGGACUCACCAACACACGCCAUGCUGACGACCAUGAGCGACAUGGUGCUGCCGGUGCAGACAGGCGGCUGCGCCCCAGCUCAGCUCAGCAGCGCACAGGAUGUUAUUUGGCGCCCUGCCCAUGCAGUUUACAUGUUGACCACAUCAUGGGAGGGUGACGUACGCAGGCUCUUUCUACCUUGCAUGAGGCCCAGUGGGUGCUCGCUCAAGAGCGGAACAUGGCUUCCUGGAAAUUGCUCUCACUAGAAUUGACACCUCGCGUCCUUCACUAUGACCAACUCAAAACACGUCUCAGAUCCAACCUCCCGAACACGAGAUGCCUAAAAUCUGUGCUAACAUGAAAGACUUUUCAUGUAUUUUUAUUGUUUUUAUCUGAGAUUCAAACUCUUCUUCCUGUGUAAUAUGCAAAAUAUCUAAUAGGUAUUAUUAAGGUUUUCAGAGUCAUUGUGACUAAUAAACCAUUAGAAUUUUU
rnacentral:lncRNA from 1 species